UCGUGUUGUGAAAUGUUGGGUUAAGUCCCGCAACGAGCGCAACCCUUAUCCUUUGUUGCCAGCGGUUCGUGCCGGGAACUCAAAGGAGACUGCCAGUGAUAAACUGGAGGAAGGUGGGGAUGACGUCAAGUCAUCAUGGCCCUUACGAGUAGGGCUACACACGUGCUACAAUGGCAUAUACAAAGAGAAGCGACCUCGCGAGAGCAAGCGGACCUCAUAAAGUAUGUCGUAGUCCGGAUUGGAGUCUGCAACUCGACUCCAUGAAGUCGGAAUCGCUAGUAAUCGUAGAUCAGAAUGCUACGGUGAAUACGUUCCCGGGCCUUGUACACACCGCCCGU
rnacentral:rRNA from 1 species